rnacentral:rRNA from 1 species
UCUACGGGUGGCAGCAGUGGGGAAUAUUGGACAAUGGGCGAAAGCCUGAUCCAGCCAUGCCGCGUGUGUGAAGAAGGCCUUCGGGUUGGAAAGCACUUUCAGUGGGGAAGAAAGCCUUGGGGCUAAUACCCUCGAGGAAGUACAUCACCCACAGAAGAAGCACCGGCUAACUCCGUGCCAGCAGCCGCGGUAAUACGGGGGUGCGAGCGUUAAUCGGAAUUACUGGGCGUAAAGCGCGCGUAGGCGGUCUGAUAAGCCGGUUGUGAAAGCCCCGGGCUCAACCUGGGAACGGCAUCCGGAACUGUCAGGCUAGAGUGCAGGAGAGGAAGGUAGAAUUCCCGGUGUAGCGGUGAAAUGCGUAGAGAUCGGGAGGAAUACCAGUGGCGAAGGCGGCCUUCUGGACUGACACUGACGCUGAGGUGCGAAAGCGUGGGUAGCAAACAGGAUUAGAUACCCCGGUAGUC